UUUCACAAUGUUUAUUGAUAA
rnacentral:piRNA from 1 species